CCUACGGGUGGCAGCAGUGGGGGAUAUUGCACAAUGGGGGAAACCCUGAUGCAGCGACGCCGCGUGAGGGAAGAAGUAAUUCGUUACGUAAAGCUCUAUCAGCAGGGACGAAAAUGACGGUACCUGAGUAAGAAGCCCCGGCUAACUACGUGCCAGCAGCCGCGGUAAUACGUAGGGGGCAACCGUUAUCCGGAUUUACUGGUGGUAAAGGGGGCGUAGACGGUGGGGCAAGUCUGGAGUGAAAUGCCGCAGCUUAACUGCGGAACUGCUUUGGAAACUGGUGAACUAGAGUGCGGGAGGGGUAAGCGGAAUGCCGAGUGUAGCGGUGAAAUGCGUAGAUAUUAGGAGGAACACCGGUGGCGAAGGCGGCUUACUGGACCGUAACUGACGUUGAGGCUCGAAAGCGUGGGGAGCAAACAGGAUUAGAUACCCUUGUAGUC
rnacentral:rRNA from 1 species